GAUGAAGAACGCAGCGAAAUGCGAUACUUGGUGUGAAUUGCAGAAUCCCGUGAACCAUCGAGUCUUUGAACGCAAGUUGCGCCCGAAGCCAUUAGGGCGAGGGCACGCCUGCCUGGGCGUCACACGUCGUUGCCCCCCCAUCUACUCCUUCGGGAUUGCGGGGGGCGGAUGAUGGCCUCUCGUGCGCCUCGUCGCGCGGUUGGCCUAAAUGCCAAGUCCUCGGCGACGCACGCCACGACAAUCGGUGGUUGCGAAACCUCGGUUGCCUGUCGUGUGCGGUCGUCGCGCAUCGAGGGCUCGAAAAAAUUGCCGGGCUUCGGCUCGACUUUCAACGCGACCCCAGGUCAGGCGGGGUUACCCGCUGAAUUUAAGCAUAUCAAUAAGCGGAGGA
rnacentral:misc_RNA from 1 species